rnacentral:tRNA from 1 species
GCCUUCGUGGUGUAAUGGUCAGCACACUGAGCCGGUAUUUCAGAGGUCCGUGGUUCGAACGUGGUUCGAUUCCCGGCGAAGGCA